rfam:Acidobacteria bacterium 13_1_20CM_3_53_8 13_1_20cm_3_scaffold_26, whole genome shotgun sequence.
GGCGGGGUAGCUCAGCUGGUUAGAGCACGAGAUUCAUAACCUCGAGGCCGAGAGUUCGAGUCUCUCCCCCGCUA